AGCAAACUUCAAUAGCUGUUCAGAUUUUGUUGAGCAUAGAGAUAGUUUCGAUCGCUCGAGAGUAGAUUAAAAAAUCAGCGCCAUGAACUGUGUUGGAAUCUUUGGUUUGUUGUUUUUGGCGCUGGUGGCCGCGCUGAGCAGUGUAAAUGCCGACUGUGAAUAUGGCGGAGAGAAAGCAAAGCCCGGUCAAGAAUUCUAAGUAAAAGGCGAAUGCAAUAUCUACACCUGCCACGAAGGCGGCGGCCUUACAGCCAAGACCUGCCCAGUAGUGCAAGCCGGUCCUAAUUGCGUAAAGGUUCCACAGGACAACUCGAAGUCUUUCCCAGGAUGCUGUGAAACAUACAACUGUUGAAACGUGAUUUGAAAAAGCGACAAUAAAAAAUAAAAUAUUUAAAUUAUUUCCACGUA